UUUGGGUAAAAACGAGAGCAAUUAGGGCAGGUUUUCUUCGAUUGUUCUUGCUCAUGAGAGAGUCUUCUUUUCAUCUCGCUCGGGAAUCUUCGAUUUUGUGCUCGGUAUUCAAUCUCUUGUGCUCGGGAGUGUUCCAUCUCUUGCGGUCAUUGAGCUCGAGGCACUCGAGACACUCGGGACGCAUGAACAGCUCAUGCUCGGGAGCCGGUGGGGGUUAACGGGAUAGAUUCGAGACUCGAGUAAACCGAUUUUUUGAUUUGAGAUGAUUUGGCGCCGGAUGCGGGAGCGAGGGAGUUGGUCUGGUGAGUCUCUGGGGUCUCGCCCGUCUUCUCUUCAGUCGCAUGUGUGUAGUCGAGGGGCCGCGCUCUCCCGCACAGGGAGGUCUAAUGGCGUCGACGUGCCUCCCUGCGUCCGCGGCACCCUCUCCUCCUUCGUCGCCUUCGACUUCCCUUUCGCGACGCCCGCCGUCUCGGCUCCCGCGGAUGCCCUGUUCACCGGCGUCGGGGCCGGGUUUUCCGCGCGCGGAUCGCGGCGGUCGGAGGAGCAGCAGCGGCAGCAGAAGAGCGCGCGGGCUUGGCUCCGGAGGAAGAGAAAGUUGAGCACGCCCCUCUCCAUUCGGAUAGCCUAUGGGUAAUUCUCCACCGUAAAUGGUAUGGCUGUUGCUCUAGAAGUGGCUCGAGCUGGUGAAGUUGGAUCCGUGUUAGGAUAGUUUCGAGAAGAGAAAUGUGGGUGAAGGUGGAAUCAGAAGCCUGGGAAGAAGGGCACAGUUGGGAUUGUUCCGGCCGUGAUUCAUGGAAGAAUAGGGCCAAAGCCGUAGGUUAGUGCUGCUUCUUUUUACAGAACUUGGUCCCUGGAAAGGACUUGAUCUUGUUUAGUUUUAGUGAAAUUGGUCUUAUCUGAGGAUCGAACUGGCAAAAGUAUGUAUUUUGCAUCGACAGAUGAUGCCGGGUUCAAUCAAAACUUAUUGGAAUUUGAUUCCUAGUGUACGUAGGUCAGCCUCAUGCUCAAAGGAAUACCGCAUUAGUGCCCUGCUGUCGGGAAGGAGGAAGAUCAUUAUCUGCGCUGCCGAAAUUCUUUUUAAGCUUACAUAUGCUGAUUCCGGGGAAACAUCAGUUGCAGCAGAUUGGCGACCGAACCUGAACUUUCAUUCAGAGUGCUUCCCUCGGUUUAGUCCCACGAAGACACCGUUGCCACCACCAUUGCCAUAGGAUCCGGCAGAGGAGGAUGAAGAAGAAGAAGGGGAGAAUCCUGAGAAGGAAGGGAGGGACUCGCCUGAGAAGCAGUAAGCAGAAGACUCCUCGGUGAUCAAACGUUGCUCCACCUUUGGACAUUCUUUGCAAGCGAUUGCUCAGUAUGUCCAUUACAAGUAGGUUCGAUCUAUCCUGCCUACUCAAAUACAAUGAAAACUGAGAAUCUCGAAACACGUUUAGAAAUUUCGGUGGAUUUUUAGAUUCUAGUGUAGGAUAUUGAUUUGUGUACUUCUCAAUGUAGUACUGCGAUCAAUGGACAGUAUAUCUACUAACUGAGACCUGACCCAUGUUUUCAUGCAUCACUUAAUGAGGAACUUCAUGAUCCCGUUAAAAACUAUCAAAUUGCAAAAAAUUCACAAAUAUUGCAUAGUCGUAGCUCUGUGCCUAGUUGUAAUUAGAGGGAGUCACACUGGAUAUAGCUCAACUUAUUCAGGAAUGGGAAUUAUCGGUAGGCCUCAUAUCAUUAUAAACAAAAUAUUUGUCAAGAAAGGAACUGUAAGAAUACUAAUCUGAAGUAUCACGGACUAUUUCUAUCUCGCUUCCAUUAUUGUUAUAGAUACAUCAUUGAUGGAAUAAAGAUUCGACUUCCCGCUGGAUGAUUCUCCAGAUUCACUUUUGCCUAUGCAGUAUGCUGCUUGUUUUGGAUCUGGUAGGAAAACGUUAUCAUUUGUAAUCAUUGAAAUAACAUCAGACAUGGUCGGUCUAUCUGUGGCACCCUCUUGAACACAGAGAAGACCAACGUGGAUGAUUCUGAUCAGUUCAUUCUUCGGGCACAAGGAACCGAGAGAUGGAUCCAUCAGCUCCAAAAUGUCACCUUGACUCCAUAGGUCCCAUGUCUGCAAUAAGUUCAAUAUUCAUAAAAAAUGUCAGAAUUUGCAUCAAAUUUGUGAGUGGAAUAAUCUGAUAUGUCUGAAGUUUGAACCACAUACCUGCUCUAUGAGGCCAACAAGAGUAGAUGAUGUGAAAACAGUAUUUUUCCUGCCAGUAACAAUCUCCAGAAGUAGAACUCCGAAACUGAAGACAUCAGACUUCACCGAGAAUAUUCCUUUCAUGGCAUACUCGGGAGACAUGUAACCACUGCACAUUGUUACCCACCAUAACAGGAAAAUGUCAGACAUGUAAGAACUGUUUACAAGACAAAUUUUGAGAGAACUGUGCAAGGUUGCUUAGAGAUACUGUGCUUACUAUGUUCCGACUACCCUAUUGGUGUUAGCUCUGGAUUCAUUCUGCCCAAAAAUCCUGGCCAUCCCGAAAUCUGAUAUCUUGGGGUUCAUAUCAUCGUCGAGUAAUAUGUUGCUUGCUUUUAAAUCUCUAUGUAUCACUUUCAGUCUUGAAUAUUUGUGGAGAUAAAGAAGCCCUUGUGCGACACCUUCGAUUAUACUCAGGCGCUUAUUCCAGUCCAGCAAUUUCCUUUUCACUGGAUCUGUCAUUUUUAUAUUAAAAAAUACAAUUGGCAGUCGACAAAAGAAUUAUUUACGGCAAUGGACAUCCACUACGAAUAACUAUUUGAGAACCCAAAUUGACCGAUCUAUCUACUCACCGAAGAGAAACGUGUCCAAGCUUUUGUUUGGCAUGUAUUCAUAGAUCAGCAUCUUCUCUUCCCCUUGAAUGCAGCAACCCAGUAGCUUAACCAGAUUUGUGUGUUGAAGCUCAGCGAUCAAUGUAAUUUCAUUCACGAACUCCUCCAGCCCUUGUCCUGAAUUUCUUGAGAGCCUUUUCACUGCAAUUUGUCGUCCAUCCAGCAGGAUGCCCUAUGUAUGGUAAACCUGUCAGCACUCGCUGACCAUCUAUCAGAUGGCAUUUGGAAUCAUAGAAUAGAGUCUUUUACCUUGUAAACUGGUCCAAAACCUCCCUGUCCCAGCUUGUUAGCAGGUGCAAAGUAAUCUGUCGCGGCAUCUACCUCAGAAAAGCUAUACUGCUGAAAGUCGCUGCGACUCGUUUUACUCCGUUUCAGACCGAAUUUCUUAGAGGGCAUCAUCUGUUGGUUUAGCAAUGCAUGGUUCUGCUUUGUUUCUGACUCUUCUGCAGAUAAAACAGAGAGUAUUUAGACUUGUACUCUAUGUACCCUACCUGGUGAAUAUCGUCAAAACAAUCUAAAGUCCCGACCAUUGUCUUGCAGAAGCAUCAGCUUUCUCUUCCUUAAGUAUAGAAGAUAACCCGAUAUUAGCACAGCCGCAGCUAUGACAGUGGCUGUGAGUAACCAUACCCACCACUUGUUUUUCCUUUUGCUCAUUGAACCUCCUUCAGCUGGAAUCCAUAGCAAAUGAGAAUUACUUUAAUGAAAGUCGUUCUACGUGCAAUACAUUGCGGAUAGCUGUAUUUAGUCCUAUCAUGCCCCAUUUCACAUUUUGCAAGCUGCUGUAACAGGGGGCUCUCAGUUUGUAACUUUGUCGCAAUUAGGGUUUUGCAUUUAAGUACUAGUUAGAGAUCUGACCCUUCAGAAGUAAAGAGCAAAACACAAGGCUAGAGUAUAUUACAAUAUGCACAGUGUAUUUAGAUCUUUUACAUACCAUUGUCAGCAGUCGAGGUAAGCACGUAGAGAACAUCAAAGUUAUCAUUUGGAAUAUAUGUUCCUCCCCUGUUCCAAAACUCACAUCCAGUUCCAUCAGUAAAAAGACUCCCAAAAGCUAUGCAAGAGCAAUUGUUCCAGCACAUGGAAUGGCAAUCACUCAGGGUCAAGCUUGAAUUAUGGUCAGAAUAGAGCAAUUCCCCUUUAUUAUAGUAGCCUCUCUGUUGCACAAACAGCUCCGAGCCAUUCCUACAAGCCGACGGCUUUUGAUCUACACACACAGCACCCGAGUAAUUCCCAUUCGAGUUGCACGAACUGGUACUUGAGUAGAGCCAAUUAGUACCAUCCUUGGCCAGAGUAGACCGUACUAUUUGACCCCACAGAUUAAUUUCCCACCUUGUGAUGGUGGAAUUGUUCUUCAAAGAGAAAGUGAAGUACUUCUCGUUUUCAUCCGACACAAAGCUGAACUCAUAUGCUGUCUCGUCUCGGGUCAGCUCAGGUGCCAUCUGAAAGCCUCCAUUUUCCCAUGCUCCACUGGUCCAAUAUAUCUCCUCGCGGUGCCAAAUCACUAGCUGGUUGGCGCUUCCAGGAUCCAUGCCUAGACGGAAAGCUCCUGGACCUGGGUCCCGGUCGCUUAGCCAUGAGUUAUCUUCAACCUUCCAUCAUUGUCCAAGUUCAGAACUCCAGACGAAUUGAAAAUAGGGUUGUUUGGAUUCGCCACCCAGACAGCUUCGGGAUUAUGAGGUAGUUUGCUGUACCAGAUUCCCAAGUAUCGGUAACUCGAGGAGCCUGGGCUGAAGAAGCCUAGUUUGAACGUACCUUUUGGAGCAAGAAGGUGUUCCCAGUCCUUCAGCUGUUGGCCCUGCAUCAGCUGGAAUACAAUUUCUGCUCUGGAGGUGAACGAGAACAAGAGAACAAGGAGGAGGGUUUCGAGUUUCGCCAUCUUCUUCUGCAAGAAAGAUGACUAUUGAUAUCUUGCAGGAGUUCUUUGCUUUAGGCUCUCAUCUGGUGCAAGAAUGCGAAAUUGUCUUGGACAAGAGGCAAAGACAAUGGCCUAGGAGUUUUCUUAUUGGGGCUAUUGCAAGAUCUUUUUUCUGUAUCUUCUCUUGUUAGACUAAUCUACACAUAUCUUUUGUAAAUUUGGUGCUCAAAUUUCCAACGUGGGGACACCUGAAAAGUCAUACUAUAGUACAUUAGGUGCUUAAAAAUUCUUUAGUGGUUUGACUUUUCUCCCCAUUAACACCCUUUCUGAUUAGGAUAUCAUUUAGUGUCAUCCUCACACUUUAAACGAUGAAAUCAAAACUGUAGACAUCGUACGUGCGUUUACUUUGAAAAACAGGAGCAUGAGGGGCCCUGCAAAGUAUUCUAGAAGAUUGCAUGUUCAUCUACUUAUUGCAGUAAUGCGUAUAGACAGAAUCCAGUGGUUGCAGCUGAAUUAGUGGACUCAUUCUUGCACGGUUGUCUUUUGAUGAUCCAACUUGAGAUUAAAAGAUGGGAUAUUCCAAGAUUAUGAGAAAAAACACGUCUUUUUUUUAUUAAUAAAAUUAAUGUGAGAUUAAUUAUUUUUUGCUGCUCUUUUGCAUCAUUUUGUUGGUGUGGAGGACUAGCUAGGACUGUAGGACUGGGGAUUGUAUAUAAUGGGUUGUAACUUGCAAGCAGACAGGAUUGACCUAAUCAAAAUGUUGCCUUUUCUUCUUC